rnacentral:rRNA from 1 species
UACGUAGGGCGCAAGCGUUAUCCGGAAUUAUUGGGCGUAAAGAGCUCGUAGGCGGCUUGUCACGUCUGCUGUGAAAACUCGGGGCUCAACCCCGAGCCUGCAGUGGAUACGGGCUAGCUAGAGUUCGGUAGGGGAGACUGGAAUUCCUGGUGUAGCGGUGAAAUGCGCAGAUAUCAAGGAGGAACACCGGUGGCGAAGGCGGGUCUCUGGGCCGAUGACUGACGCUGAGGAGCGAAAGCGUGGGGAGCGA